rnacentral:rRNA from 1 species
CACGUAGUUAGCCGUGGCUUUCUGAUUAGGUACCGUCAAGACGUGCACAGUUACUUACACGUUUGUUCUUCCCUAAUAACAGAGUUUUACGAUCCGAAGACCUUCAUCACUCACGCGGCGUUGCUCCGUCAGGCUUUCGCCCAUUGCGGAAGAUUCCCUACUGCCUGCCUCCCGUAGGAGUCUGGACCGUGUCUCAGUUCCAGUGUGGCCGAUCACCCUCUCAGGUCGGCUACGUAUCGUUGCCUUGGUAAGCCGUUACCUUACCAACUAGCUAAUACGGCGCAGGUCCAUCUAUAAGUGAUAGCAAAGCCAUCUUUCACUAUCGAACCAUGCGGUUCGAAAUAUUAUCCGGUAUUAGCUUCCGGUUUCCCGAAGUUUAUCCCAGUCUUAUAGGUAGUUACCUACGUGUUACUCACCCGUCCGCCGCUAACGUCAAAGGAGCAAGCUCCUCGUCUGUUCGCUCGACUUGCAUGUAUUAGGCUACGCCGCCAGCGUUCCAUCCUCGUAGCCAGGACUCAAAACUU